AUGUAACGUAUCUUUCUUAUUACAUCAUUAUAUACACGUGACAUACGGGCCUUGUAGGCCAACAUAAUCAUUGAUAAACUCAAAACAUAGGCCGGCAAGGCCGUACAAUCUUUCACGUAUACGACAUAUGUCUACAAGCCUCUAAAAAUAAACAAAUGUCAUAGAGGUCGGGAUAGAGUCCCGCCAUACCAACCAAUAUACGUCUAAAUCAUACUAACCAAACAAGCAACUCCGAAGCAAAUGGAGCGCACCAACAUCUUCCGCCGAGCUGAUAGCCUACUUGGAGGGCUCUCGACCUGUCUAUCGGGACCUGCAGGCAUGAAACGCAGCGUCCCCAGGCAAAAGGGUCAUCAGUACGAACAAUGUACCGAGUAUGUAAGGCACAUAAAUAAAUAUAUAAGAGACAUGGAAGACAUAUAGAGUACAUGACUCAACCUGUAAGUUUGAAUAACUUUGUAAAUCAUAAAUUACAUUUAACGUCAUGCAUAUAUGCGUAGGAAUGUCAUGUCUUCCAUAGGUACAUGUUUCAUAACAUCAUCAGUCUCUGAGGGCAUACCAUCAUAUCAUAUCGGCCAUUGUGGGCAAAAUCAUCAUCGUAUACCAGCUGAUCAGGUGGUGGUGCGUAUAUAACGCCAUAACCUUUCCCAUAUCUCAUAUACAUAUAUAUACAUACAUAUAUACGCGUAUAUAACGCCGUUUGAAUACAUACAUAUAUAUGUGUAUACAACGUCGUUUGAAUCAUAUUUCAGCCACUGUGGGCAACAUCAUCAUCAUAUACCAGCUGACAGGUGGUGGUGCGUAUAUAAUGCCGUAACCUUUUUUUCAUAUCCUAUAUACAUAUAUUUACAUAUAUACGCGUAUAUAAUGCCAUCUGGUCAUGGGUCAAUGUACAUGAAUGCAAUACAUGAAAAGUACGUCAAUAAAAUCAUUCGGAAUGUCAUAAGACCAUUUUUCCUCUGAGUAAUGUCAUAAAGUAAACUCUUUUCAACUUUCAUAUUUUUCUGAGACCUAUGAACAGAUGAUAAAAUAUUAUGACACGUGGAAAUUCAAAAACAUAGAUAUCUCUAAUACUUCUAUGAAUAGAGUCAUUUAUAGAAUUUGCGCAUUUGCACGUUUCGUUCGUAUCGUAUGGAUCAUGCCAAAAGAAAGAAGGGAUAGCCUUAACAUACCUAUUUUUCGAAUCAUUUGAACGAAUCUGCUUCUGCGAAAUAUGGACGAAACUUAUACUUGGAUAGCCUCGAAAUUGAAACGAACUUGUUUUGGAUUUGAAAUCUUGGGAAGAAUUUUGAUUCUGCUUUCACGUUUUUCUCAAAGACAAGAGUCUUUGAAACUUAACCAAAAAUCAGAUUUUUUUAAUCCAAGAAAGGGAAAUGUUUCUUGCUUUUUGGUCUUGGGACAUUAGUGUCUUAUGACCAAAAUGAAAGAAUCUCAAAUCUGAUCUUU
rnacentral:lncRNA from 1 species